CGCAUCGUCCGAUUUGGCGCGGUAGAAAGUGAAGCUGGCGGCGCGAUGCGGCGGCGCGGCGCGGUGGUGUCCGUCGCACCGUUUGCGUUUGAUGCGAUCCGCGUAAUUUUCUCAGUCGCCUUCAGUCCUCUUCACUCUCUCCGUGCGUUAAGUCGCUGUGCGUGUAUGUGUGUGUGGGUCGUGUAAGUGAAAAACCUCUCGAGAAAUAGGUCAAUAGUGGUGGCGCGGCGCUUCUGGCGCGAUCUUCAUUCCCGGUUACGCUAACUCGAAGCUCGACCGGAGAAAAAGUUGUCGGCGGAUCCGAUCGGCCGGCGACCGGUGCGCCUGCGCAGUCCUCGGGAUUUUAUUGUUCCGUACGGAACGGUACUCGAAUCGAGUCGUUACGUCGCCAUCGGUAGCGCUCCGCUUUCCACCGAUCACCGAUCACUCACCAUGUGCCGUCCGAGCGGGUCGCUGCCCCGCCGUUUCUGACCCUCUUCCGCAAGUUCCCGGACUUUCGGGGUACCUAGAACCUUUCCGCGAGUUUUCCGGAUCUUUUCGGGAGUUCCCUGGAUUUUUUUGGACCUGUGUUGUGCGGGAUGGCGUUUGUGAGCCGCUUCGAGAUCUACAUCGCGCCGGACUCGGCCAAGAUCCGCAAGAGCUUCGGGCCCUUCAAGAUCAAGAGCAGCUUCCGGAGUUGUAACAGUGCGCCGCCGUCACAUCUUACGCAUCAAGAAAAAUGUGAGUUCGAUUACAAUCAAAUUACUACGCCUUCAAUUGCAGGUAAGUCGUUAUUUUGCGCAUCAUCAGCUCUUGUCAACUUGCAAAAACACAUUGAGACAAAUCGUUUUGGUAUGUUGAUAUUGCGUUUGUUUAAUUGCACGACUGUCAAUGAAUCGAAAGACCUUUCUUUCGCAAAACAUCAAACCGCUGUUGAUAACUUUGCAGAGGAGAGCGCUGUACGAAUAUUUUGGCACAAAAAGUCCCCCGAAGUUUGA
rnacentral:lncRNA from 1 species